UACGGAGGGUGCAAGCGUUAUCCGGAUUCACUGGGUUUAAAGGGUGCGUAGGCGGGCAGGUAAGUCCGUGGUGAAAUCUCUGAGCUUAACUCAGAAACUGCCAUGGAUACUAUUUGUCUUGAAUGUUGUGGAGGUAAGCGGAAUAUGUCAUGUAGCGGUGAAAUGCUUAGAUAUGACAUAGAACACCAAGUGCGAAGGCAGCUGACUACACAAAUAUUGACGCUGAGGCACGAAAGCGUGGGGAUCAAACAGG
rnacentral:rRNA from 1 species